UACGUAGGGUGCAAGCGUUGUCCGGAAUUAUUGGGCGUAAAGAGCUCGUAGGCGGUUUGUUGCGUCGGCUGUGAAAUCCCGAGGCUCAACCUCGGGUCUGCAGUCGAUACGAGCAAACUAGAGUGUGGUAGGGGAGAGUGGAAUUCCUGGUGUAGCGGUGAAAUGCGCAGAUAUCAGGAAGAACACCCGUGGCGAAAGCGGCUCUCUGGAACGGUACUGACGCUGAGACGCGAAAGCGUUGGGGAGCGAACAGGG
rnacentral:rRNA from 1 species